rnacentral:rRNA from 1 species
UACGGGGGGGGCAAGCGUUGUUCGGAAUUACUGGGCGUAAAGGGCUCGUAGGCGGCCAACUAAGUCAGACGUGAAAUCCCUCGGCUUAACCGGGGAACUGCGUCUGAUACUGGAUGGCUUGAGUUUGGGAGAGGGAUGCGGAAUUCCAGGUGUAGCGGUGAAAUGCGUAGAUAUCUGGAGGAACACCGGUGGCGAAGGCGGCAUCCUGGACCAACACUGACACUGAGGAGCGAAAGCCAGGGGAGCAGACGGG